rnacentral:lncRNA from 1 species
CUUCUCUGGCUUGGAAAACUCUUUCCUCAAGGUCCAGCUUUUGUUAGCCUUUGGCCAUUAGCCUUGGUAGGAUGAUCUUUACUCUCACUAUUUUUACAAAGGCCACUUGUACUGCAUUUUACAGAAAAAAAAAGUACAAAUUUUGAAGAGAACUAUUUCAACUCCAUUCUCCUAAAUCAUUAAGGACUGUGAUAAGCAUGCAGUAUUUUUUAAAAUGAAAUAAAAGAAGGGGGCGGGAAACACUGAAGCAUCUUUCAACAGAAAAGCUGCAAAGAAGCAUAAAGCAGUCAAUUCACAAUGAAAAGUGUUGACAACACUGAGGAAAACUAAACACUAACACAUCUGAGUUGUUGAAAUGAAAUAUAUUUUAAUCUGCAUUUAAGGUGUUUAAAAAUCUCCAUUUGUUAGCACAACAAAAUAAAUAUUUACAACUAAGGAUUG